rnacentral:lncRNA from 1 species
AAACACACAAGUUGCACUAAAAUCCAACUCUAUCCCAAAAAAAUCCAAAAUCUAAUCAAGUAAAACAAUUUAGACUUUGCUUUGGAGUCUUUUCUAGAGCACCGAGCACAUACGUUUUUAUACAAGUCAAUAUGAAAACGUAACCGGAACGAUAAAGCCCCCAACUAAUAUUCGAUCUCAUGCUGGCAUGCUGCCGUCUUAUAAAAGAAACAGUGGCGUGCAUCUAACUGAUGCCUGAUGGAUAUGAAUUUGGACCAAAUCUAUCUCCAGCUCAUUCUGGUAGUUUUGACCUUAUAACUUAUGGCUAUAAAUGGUACAUUGUUUUCCCGCUCAUUCAGGAGAGACACGUGUGUGUAAAUCUGUGGUGAACAUGUCGUUGUUCUUACAAUACGAAAUUGCUUCAGACAGGGCCCACAUGAGUUUCUAGCACCUCUCCGGCUUUCCCUUUUCUCUGUUUAAAGAAACAAUUUAGAAAAAUUCCGACUUUCCUAGAAUAUUCAUAUAUCCCAGAAUUUUUUGUAAUUUAAAAUAGAAUUGACUAUAAUUUCUUAAUUGUAUGAGAAAUUAUUUUGCACCAUAUAUUAUAAGAUAAAAUCUGCUAUGUAGACUGUUACGAUAACUACCACAUAAAUCUAUGUGAUAUCAAAUUUACUUAAUUGUAUAUUAUAAGUAUAUUUGUAGAGGUUCAUGUCUUUAAAAUUAAUGUUUCUUUUAUGCAUUGCUUGAUAAGAAAAUAAAUGUAUUUGGGAACAUAUCAUAGUUGUCACAUACUAUAUAUAGCGUAUUCUUGAACAGAAAAAAAAAGAAACAAAAACAAAAAUAUAUAUUCAUUGAGGACCUCGGUGAUCCUCUUCUUAACAAAGUACCACCAACAUUCAUAAAAAAAAAAGGUAACCACCAACACAAUUAUUUUUGGACGGCUUAAAAUUAGGGGUGGGCAUUUUACCCGAAAUCCGAAGUGGUACCCGAACCCGAUUCGAAAAACCCGAACCGAAAUCCGAACCGAAGUAGCAAAAUAUCCGAACGGGUAUUGAAUUAGGAGAGAUUGGAUAUCCGAACCCGAACGGGUAAUAUCCGAACCCGAAUGGAUAUCCGAAAAUAACCGAACAUAUGAUAAUUAACCUUAUAUUUAUAGUUUACAUCUUUCAUUUUAUAUAAAAUAUUUAUAUUGAUACUACACAUACUUUAAAUUCAUAUGAUAUACAUACAAUUACGAAGAAGAUGAUUUGCUAUUCGCUUAAAAUGCAUGUCAAACUUUUUAUUUCAGCAAUUAACAAAAAAUUACAUCCAAAAUUUAAAAACAAUAACCAAAUUAAUGUCUUUUUAGUUUGAAAAUGUUAUGUCCAAAUAUAUUAACCAUGCAAUCUAUUAAAAAUAAAAAAAUAGUUAAGUGAAAAGUUAUAUAUUUAAAUACAAGAAAUUUGAGAAAUGAAAAUUUUCAUUUUUUUUUCUUCAAAAUCUAAAUAUCCGAACCCGAUCCGAAAUAACCGAAACCGAACUUAAAAUACCCGAACCCGACCCGAAGUACAGAAAUAUCCGAACGGGUUCUACACCUCUAUACCGAAAUACCCGAAAAUCCGAAAUACCCGAUCCGAACCCGAACGGGUACCCGAACGCCCACCCCUACUUAAAAUCCACAAACCUUAUAUCAAUAAUAGUGUAGAAAAAGGCAAAUACUAUACUGUGGUAGGUGGUUCGAACUUCUCAUCAAAUAGUUAUGAUUUUUAAUUACUAGUAAUAAGUAAUAACAACCCUAGGAAAGAAAAAACAAUUACCUUUUAUUGUGGCGGAGAGAGAGUUCAAUAGUUAAAUGGUAGACACAGAGAAUACAUCUGUCAGAGGCUGACUCAUUGUGAUUGAUGCC